AUUGAACGCUGGCGGCAUGCCUUACACAUGCAAGUCGAACGGCAGCACGGGAGCAAUCCUGGUGGCGAGUGGCGAACGGGUGAGUAAUGUAUCGGAACGUACCUUUCAGUGGGGGAUAACGUAGCGAAAGUUACGCUAAUACCGCAUAUUCUGUGAGCAGGAAAGCAGGGGAUCGCAAGACCUUGCGCUGAUUGAGCGGCCGAUAUCAGAUUAGCUAGUUGGUGAGGUAAAGGCUCACCAAGGCGACGAUCUGUAGCGGGUCUGAGAGGAUGAUCCGCCACACUGGAACUGAGACACGGUCCAGACUCCUACGGGAGGCAGCAGUGGGGAAUUUUGGACAAUGGGCGCAAGCCUGAUCCAGCCAUGCCGCGUGAGUGAAGAAGGCCUUCGGUUGUAAG
rnacentral:rRNA from 1 species